rnacentral:lncRNA from 1 species
UCCAUAAAAGACCUUUUGAUUUGAACAUGCAUAUGUUUUGAGUAUUGAUAUUAGAGGCUUGCCAAGUCUAUUUGUGUUUUCUUUCUUGAGUGCAUUGAGUUGACAUUGUUUAUCCUAGACACUUGAGAGAAACACUGAUAGUGUGCAUCUGUGAGGUUUUGUUGCUUUUGAUUCACCUCUUAAGCUGACUGAUCAUUUUGCCAUGCUUUGAAUUUCUUGGAUGACUUCAUGAGUAUCUGUUUUCUCUGAUUCUGUGUUGGAUAUUGUCUACUUCCUCUUCUUUGUCCAGAUUUCUUGAAGAAAUGUGCAAUUCUGUUUCUGUCCUUGUGAGUCUUAGUUGUUUGUAUGUUAAGUCUGUCACCUCCCUGAUGUUUGAGUUGUUCCCUGG